CCCUGGUACAAUUCCCCUUGAGUUGAUCAUGGCUCGAUUGAACGCUGGCGGCGUGCUUAACACAUGCAAGUCGAGCGGUAACAGGUGUAGCAAUACAUGCUGACGAGCGGCGAACGGGUGAGUAAUGCUUCGGAAUCUUCCUAGUAGUGGGGAAUAACCUGGGGAAACUCAGGCUAAUACUGCAUACGAACUACGGUUGAAAGCAGGGGAUCGCAAGACCUUGCGCUAUUAGAUGAGCCGAAGUCGGAUUAGCUAGUUGGUGAGGUAAAGGCUCACCAAGGCGACGAUCCGUAGCUGGUCUGAGAGGACGACCAGCCACACUGGGACUGAGACACGGCCCAGACUCCUACGGGAGGCAGCAGUGGGGAAUAUUGGACAAUGGGGGCAACCCUGAUCCAGCGACGCCGCGUGUGUGAAGAAGGCCUGCGGGUUGUAAAGCACUUUUAGUGGGGAUGAAAAGCCAAGGGUUAAUACCCUUUGGUCUUGACCUAACCCAAAGAAAAAGCACCGGCUAACUCUGUGCCAGCAGCCGCGGUAAUACAGAGGGUGCAAGCGUUAAUCGGAAUUACUGGGCGUAAAGCGUGCGCAGUCGGUUAUUUAAGUCGGGCGUGAAAGCCCCGGGCUCAACCUGGGAAUUGCGUUCGAUACUGGAUAGCUAGAGUUCGGCAGAGGGAAGCGGAAUUUCGGGUGUAGCGGUGAAAUGCGUAGAUAUCCGAAGGAACGUCAGUGGCGAAGGCGGCUUCCUGGAACAGAACUGACGAUC
rnacentral:rRNA from 1 species